rnacentral:rRNA from 1 species
AAUCAACGCUGGCGGCGUGCCUAACACAUGCAAGUCGCACGAGAAAGGGUAGCAAUACCUGAGUAAAGUGGCGCACGGGUGAGUAACACGUGACUAAUCUACCCUCGAGUGGGGAAUAACUGAGAGAAAUCUUAGCUAAUACCGCAUAACACUUACGAGUCAAAGCAGCAAUGCGCUUGGGGAGGAGGUCGCGGCAGAUUAGCUAGUUGGUGGGGUAANGGCCCACCAAGGCAAUGAUCUGUAUCCGGCCUGAGAGGGCGCACGGACAUACUGGAACUGAAACACGGUCCAGACUCCUACGGGAGGCAGCAGUGGGGAAUUUUGCGCAAUGGGGGAAACCCUGACGCAGCAACGCCGCGUGGAGGAUGAAAUCCCUUGGGAUGUAAACUCCUUUCGAUAGGGAAGAUAAUGACGGUACCUAUAGAAGAAGCCCGGCUAACUUCGU